rnacentral:rRNA from 1 species
CCUACGGGUGGCAGCAGUGAGGAAUAUUGGUCAAUGGGCGGAAGCCUGAACCAGCCAAGUAGCGUGCAGGAUGACGGCCCUACGGGUUGUAAACUGCUUUUAUACGGGAAUAACGCGCCUUACGUGUAGGGCUUUGCAUGUACCGUAUGAAUAAGGACCGGCUAAUUCCGUGCCAGCAGCCGCGGUAAUACGGAGGAUGCGAGCGUUAUCCGGAUUUAUUGGGUUUAAAGGGUGCGUAGGCGGGACCUUAAGUCAGCGGUAAAAUUGCGGUGCUCAACGCCGUAGAGCCGUUGAAACUGGGGUUCUUGAGUGAGCGAGAAGUAUGCGGAAUGCGUGGUGUAGCGGUGAAAUGCAUAGAUAUCACGCAGAACCCCGAUUGCGAAGGCAGCAUACCGGCGCUCAACUGACGCUGAGGCACGAAAGUGCGGGUAUCGAACAGGAUUAGAUACCCUAGUAGUC